CUUUUGGGUUUAAACCCAUCAUCAGUUCCCAAACCUGGUCUCUGUUUACUAUAUAGAUUUUAUUGUUAUGAAGGCCUAUAAAGUCCUAUAGGCUUAUAGAGGCAUUUUGGAGAAGACAUCGGGAGGAUUUAAACCAGGGCUGCCAUACUUGAUAUAUAUACACACCAUGGUUCUGAAACUUAUUAUUAUUAUCAUCUAUGUUACAAUUGUUUAAUGAAGAAGAAUUUUGUUAAAAAUCUGCAGUUUUGAACUUAAAAAAGAUUCAAAGAAUGGCCUAUUUGAACAUCAAGCUAUGACAACUGCUCCUACUACUGCUGUUGAAGUCCUCUUAUGUAUUUCUCCUUUGUAUUUUUAUGUUGAGGCUAGUGCCAGCAGGUUUAUGAUAAACUCCAUUCUUAUGAGAGAAGGAUUUUUUGGACCCAUAAAGUGGAACAUUCAUAUUUUAAAUGCAAUAAGUCAUCCACUGUUGAGAUGGUUAAGGAUUACAUUUCCAGAUUUAACUUCUUCAGACAUUUCACAAUUUUUUCCACAGUAUGGAGGAGUGGAAAGAUGGAUUUGAUCACGGUAUCAAUUUGGACUGGUCUGAUAUAUAGAUGAAUCCAAAACUACUCUUGAUAUAGCUGCAGGGAUUUACUGCAAAGGAAUGAGGAUGUCAUAUUCUUAUAUAAGAUAUGUGAAAACAUCAAUAUACUGCUCUGAACGGUAAUUCUAUUUCAUUUAUAGCAGCAAGCACAAAUGAGCAAACCAAAAUUACUCUUAUUAAAAAUGGCUAUUUAUUGCUUAUGGAGCGCUUCCGGCCUUACGGCCAUCAUCAGCAUAAACAGGAGAU
rnacentral:lncRNA from 1 species